AACGAACGCUGGCGGCAUGCCUAACACAUGCAAGUCGAACGAGACCUUCGGGUCUAGUGGCGCACGGGUGCGUAACGCGUGGGAACCUGCCCUUAGGUUCGGAAUAACUCCCCGAAAGGGGUGCUAAUACCGGAUAAUGUCUUCGGACCAAAGAUUUAUCGCCUUUGGAUGGGCCCGCGUUGGAUUAGCUAGUUGGUAGGGUAAAAGCCUACCAAGGCGACGAUCCAUAGCUGGUCUGAGAGGAUGAUCAGCCACACUGGGACUGAGACACGGCCCAGACUCCUACGGGAGGCAGCAGGGGGGAAUAUUGGAAAAUGGGCGAAAGCCUGAUCCAGCAAUGCCGCGUGAGUGAUGAAGGCCUUAGGGUUGUAAAGCUCUUUUACCCGGGAUGAUAAUGACAGUACCGGGAGAAUAAGCCCCGGCAAACUCCGU
rnacentral:rRNA from 1 species